GCAGUGGCAGAAACGCGAGAACUGGGAAAUGAUAUUUCAUUUCUCUUCAAAUUUUAAUUUGAGAUGCAUAAAUGAUUGUAUGGUUUUUGUUGAAGUAGGGACUACAUUCAAACGUAAUGUGUACAUGUCAAGUUCAUCAAGUUACUGCUCAGUCUGUUUUGUCACCACAUAAUCCAAGGUCACCUGGAUUGAAGUGAGGUUUGACUUCAACUUGGGGCAUCCAGUAUUUCGAAGAAGCACGCUUAAGCGCAAAGGUCGGUCGGCCAUACCCGGGUGGGCGCAAGCGGGUAGGCGUUCGGUCACUGCUCAGCUGUCAGCAGUAGAUUGUGAUGGGAGGACCGGUGCACGGAGCUGCGCGAUAGUGUAGAUUUGGUGGGGAGACUGUGGUGUGACAGAGGCAUUCCCGCUUGAAGAUAAUUCGGAGAGUAUCAACUUAUGUGCAAAUCUUUGAAGAAGGCUAAACUGUUAACCAAAGUCUCAAAAACUGGAGCUUAUACCAGGGGCAUGCCUGAGCAGCGUGAGGCGGGGCCCGAUGAGCCUCAGCUGGCAUCAGGUGGCUGCUGGUCACCGCAGCAGAGUCACCAGAGUGUGCCGCCUAUGGCAGAGGGACCUCUAGACCUUACCAUGAGGUCAAUGAGCCACCAAAGUUCCACCGACCAACGUGGAAUGGACCUCAGCUUGCCAGACAAAGACUCGCCUGUGGAGGCGUGCUAUACCUGUGGUACGCCAGUGCGCCGCAGUACUCUGCGUGCGUUGUUGGUGAUUGGCCGUCAUCGGUACGGUGACGAGCCCUUCUUCCCCAGCCUCGUCGACCACGCCCGUCCGGUCGGGUCGCGACCUAUGUCACCGGACGGUCGGGUCAACGUAUGCAACAAAUGUCAAACGAGUCUAUUGCAUCAGUGGGACGACUACCAGAAAGAGAACCGGGUCUCUGCCGAGCGACGGAAGUACGCGGUGCACGCGGCCAGCGCACCCCUGCUGGGGGAGUUUGUCUGCUACAUGUGCUGCCUUACCUACUCGGUGGCGUGCCUGAGCCGCUUGCGUGUGACGCCGGGUGCCGCUGGCGAGCACUGCUAUCCGGACGUGCUGCGGCCGGUGACGCCGCCGGGCGCCGAGGGAGUCCGCAGCGGCGCCGUCUCCGUGUGCGUCAACUGCAAGAGGAAGGCGGUGCUGCGGCAGACGCUGCAGCAGAGCCGGCCACUGCCCGCGGACAGUCACUGCUACCGGAUCAUCGAGGAGGCGGUGCGCGGGCAGACCGCCGAGGAGACGCGACCCUCCACCUUCGAAAACAUUCGCGUGCGCCGGCGUGAGGUCGUGUGCAUUUCGUGCAAGCGCACACAUCAGCGAGAUUUCAUGGCGGAGGUGCGCCUGGAGAGCUCCAACCAGGCACUCAUGCACUUCCCGAGACUGGCUCACGAGCCGCGCCCGCCUGGGUCCGUGGUGAAACGCUCGUCAGCACUGGUUUGUGUCCAGUGCCUGCGGGAGCUGCAGAAGCAGUGGGAGGCGUAUGACGCGAACGGCACGCCAGUGGCCAAUCGUGUGUACGCGCCGCGCCGGAGCUCUGUGGGCAGUGGCUCGGACGCGGCUCGCGACUCGCCGCCGGUGCCCUCAGCGUCGCCGCCGGUCAGCCUGGCCUCCGGGAGCAGCCGGUCGGUGGGCUCCGGGUCACCGCCCUCCGGGAGACACUCUCCUCUGGCCGGCGGCCGACCGCUGCCUCUGACCGACCGGAACUCGCCUGUGGCCGAGCGGGGAUCCCCGCUGACCGACCGUCUAUCGGGACCCAUGGAGCGCGCCCGCACCAUGAGCGACUGCCGCACGAUCGAUAGCAGCUCGUCGAGCAGCUCCUCGGGACGGCCGAAGCGGCCCUCUGGCGACGCCUCCACGCGCGCCGCCAAGCGUAGAGCGCCGGCACGCUCGGACGCCUCACCAAAGCCGAUGUCACUGGUAGCACCGUCCACAGUGACAGCUGGAUGCUACGCCUGUCACCAACCCCUCGAAGCGAAUGCCGCUUACGAGGUGCGCACGGAGCCGAACCAGGCAGACGCGUCGGCGCCGUUCUUCCCGCACCUGGCGCAGCAGCGUCACCUGCCCGCGCCCGUCUGUAGCGUGGCGGUGUGCGUGUUCUGCUACCACACACUGGCAGACCAGUGGGCGCGCUACGAGCGACUCUCCAACAAGAUCGACCCGUACAAACGCGAGUACGACACGCACAACUUCAUCUGCUUCGUGUGCAGCGUGCGCACGUACAGGAAGCGUCUGCACGUCAUUGACGUUAAGGACUUUCCGUUCUUGACCGACUCCCACCGGUAUCCGGAGGGAGCGCUGCUCAUCUGCGACCGCACCAAGUCCGUGGUGUGCCGGGACUGCCACGGCACGCUCAACUGCCAGUUUCAGGAUUAUGAGCGCUGGAAUCUACCGGUAAACAAGCGCGAGUACAACUGGGUGGCUCGCCCACCGCCACCCGAGAGUCCCGAACCGCGAGACCGUCCAGACACCGUGGUGAGUGAGAUUGACGGAGAGCUGCCACCGGCGGGCCCCGGGCCGGCCGCCCUACCCGCCAUGUGCGCCGCCGACUGUUGGACGGCAGCUCUGCGCCGCGCCGCGCCUCAGGCAGGCGGGAGGACUGCUUCCCGCCUGGCGAGGGGCCGUCAGCGCGGUGCUGCUGUGCUUCGCACUUAUUACCAAACUUGCUGAGUAGCCAAGCAUCAGAAUGUUCUGUUUUAUAAGUGACGAGCACGGAUGAGUCAAAAUUUAGCCAGGAAAACACGAGCAUUCUCGGGAUUUUCUCAAUCAGUAACGCUCAUGAGCUGCUGUCCGUGAUGUUGGCACAGGUGGGGUGGUCGGGCUCGUGGCCUGCGGGCGUCGAGCCUCUGCUAUAGCCUGUCCAUGAAAGCCGCCCCUUGUCUCACUUGGCUCCGUUGUCGGCUUGAGCUGGACCUGUCUGUUGACACGCUGGAACCAUGCUCGGGCGCGAUCGCGGUCUGCGUGAUUAUCUUCACAGUUACCCGACUGAGGUAACUUAUUGGGUGUCAUUGUGUCCAGAGACUAAUAGUCUCGGUGCCACCGACUGGCGGGCAGUGGACCAAACGCCCUCUGUGUUAGCCACCUGGUGGCAGCGCAGGCCGCGAUGUGGCCGAGCCGUCCCAGCGCGUCCUAGGUGGCGCAUGGAGCGGGCGUCGCCGCCGUCGAGUCGGGGGCGCCGCCGGCUCCUCCCUCCUGACGCGACCGGCGCGUGGCGGCGGCGAGGUUCCUCGCGGCCGGCGCGCGCUGGCCGCCGGCCCCUCCUGCCGGGCGGUUUUCAUGGACGGCUGGUGGCGGUGCUGCCGGUGACUGGUGAUUGUGCUGGUGUGCGGUGUCGGGCCGGGGCGCGCGGCCACAGCGCCGUCUGCAGGGGGCCCGCUCGGACGAGCCGCACCUUGAUCUGUCCUUGUCCGUUCUAGUUGGCCGCCGGGAGGGUCGGACAAUGUUCGGCCCGACCGGCUGGCCUAGAGCCAUAGAUUGUUGGCCCUAGCUUUGUACUCACGAUCACAAGUAUUUGAUUCGCUUGCGAAUAAUGUUGCUUAGACCAAUGUAGGUAGGUUUCCAGUAACAUGUUGACAGUGCAGACAUUCAGUCAUAAUUUGCUCUGAAAUUGAUGCCGUUUUGGUUGAUCAAAAUUUGGCUUUGUUUUCUGAACGUUAAUUUGUUUUGUCUCAGAGCCCGGGGCGGUGGACCCAGUAGGGGCAGAGAUCGUGCGCUACGUAACAGCUUAAGCAUCUCUGUGAGAAGAACGCAGCUGUAACUCAACUUUCGUUGGGCCGAAUGUUGCUUGUAGUGUUAUAGUGACGUUUGAGCACUCUGUCUUACAAUGCCACGUUGGCAGUAAUCGAAGAUUGCGAUAUGCGCAACGUGUUAAAUUGGACUACACUCCAGGUGUUUUUAUGUGCGUUCUGUGAAAUAUAUUUAUAAUGGAUCUA